rnacentral:rRNA from 1 species
AACGCUAGCUACAGGCUUAACACAUGCAAGUCGAGGGGCAGCAUUGGAGUAGCAAUACUUCAGAUGGCGACCGGCGCACGGGUGAGUAACACGUAUCCAACCUGCCGCUUACUCGGGGAUAGCCUUUCGAAAGAAAGAUUAAUACCCGAUGGUAUAAAGAGUUCGCAUGUUCUCUUUAUUAAAGAAUUUCGGUAAGCGAUGGGGAUGCGUUCCAUUAGAUAGUUGGCGGGGUAACGGCCCACCAAGUCUACGAUGGAUAGGGGUUCUGAGAGGAAGGUCCCCCACAUUGGAACUGAGACACGGUCCAAACUCCUACGGGAGGCAGCAGUGAGGAAUAUUGGUCAAUGGGCGAGAGCCUGAACCAGCCAAGUAGCGUGAAGGAUGACUGCCCUAUGGGUUGUAAACUUCUUUUAUAAAGGAAUAAAGUCGGGUAUGGAUACCCGUUUGCAUGUACUUUAUGAAUAAGGAUCGGCUAACUCCGUGCCAGCAGCCGCGGUAAUACGGAGGAUCCGAGCGUUAUCCGGAUUUAUUGGGUUUAAAGGGAGCGUAGAUGGAUGUUUAAGUCAGUUGUGAAAGUUUGCGGCUCAACCGUAAAAUUGCAGUUGAUACUGGAUAUCUUGAGUGCAGUUGAGGCAGGCGGAAUUCGUGGUGUAGCAGUGAAAUGCUUAGAUAUCACGAAGAACUCCGAUUG